rnacentral:lncRNA from 1 species
CUCCUUUGGUUUUAUCGACAAACUCCACAAAUCUCCACCUUGUCGAUUCAACCACCAAAAAACUACGACAUCUGCCUGAGACGAAAUCCUCCGUCGCCUCUCCGUCAUGUCACCGUUCUAGUGGACCUUCUCCGGCGCUGCUCCUUCUCCGACUUCACCGUCGUCCUUGAAGCUCGCCAUCGUCACGAUUCAUGGCUUUAAACAAGCCGAUGAAUCUCACCACCGUCUCUGCAAAUGAAGCACCACGAUUCCAGCUUAACCGCCGUUUCGUCGCUACCGGCGUUCAUCUCCACUGUCGUCUUUACCGACGAUAGCAUCUGCUGUCGCUGAUUUAACCAUCACCGACCCAACAUCUCAACUUUUCACCGGAGCAUGUCAAAACCCAGAAAUCGUCGACUAUUUCUAGAUCCUCUCAUUUCCGAUGAUAGAUUGACGUUAAUUCAUCCUCACCGCUGACUGAUUCCGCUGCUACCUUAACCGAUGCAGCUCAGCUCUGCAAUCCCAGGUAAAUUCCGAAACUCCCAUAGCCAUCUCUUUACCAAAAUGUUAUUUCAGUUUCUGUUGCUGUGAUUUGCAAUUACUUCUGAAAUCUUACUGUCUUCCUUUUCAUCUGCAGCUGCUGAAGACACUUUUGAUUUCAAAAACUAAGCAUCGUGAAUUGCAGGUAAAACCCCAAAUUCCUUUGACGCUUCCAAACUUUCAAAUUUGACCACCUGAAAAUUUUGCCAUUUGAGAAGAUCAACCCGUAAUGAAACACUUCUUCUCUGUUACCCUGAAAUGAUGACUUUUACCAAUCUCAUCUCACAUUUUUCAAACUUUACAAUCUGAAAAAACUUUGUCGAUUUCUUAUGUUACCGAUACUGAAUUUUUUUUUUCAAUAUCUUCUGUCUUUGUGAGAUGCCCAAAUCGACAAGAGCAAUCUCAAGACGCUUUUGGAAACAACUACGGAAUUACAUUGAGAAGCACCAGGAACUUCUCAAACGUGUUUCCAGGUAAGCACUUUGUGAGCAUGUCUGCUGGAUUAGCUGUAGUGUGAACCUUUAGGAUCUUGACUGAACCUUCAUCGACUAUAUCUCUGAUAAAAUGAUAUUUGGUAUCAACAUGCUUUGUUCUGUCAUGGUGCACACUGUUCUUUGCUAAACAUAUAGCACUUUGUGAAUUACAAUUGAGUUUAAAACUGUCCUCUUUAAAACCCAAUUCACCACACAAUCCCUUAAGCCACAGACCUUCCUUAGUAGCCUCAGAUAGAGACAUAUAUUUUGCUUUCGUAGUAGAUAAAGCAACUACUUGUUGUAGACAUGAUCUCCAACUGACCGUAUUGCCACCAACUUUGAAAACAUAGCCUGAAACUGACCUUCUCCUGUCUAAGUCUGUAGCAUAAUCUGAAUCACAAAACCCUUCAAUCUCAAAUUUCUCUGAUUUUGUGAAAGUAAGACAUACUCCUGUAGCUCCUUUUAAAUACCUCAAAAUCCACUUAACCGCAGCCCAAUGAGAUCUUCCUGGAUUCGCCAUGAAUCUGCUAACCAAUCCAAUGGCAAAGGCUAGAUCAGGUCUUGAACCGAUCAUAGCAUACAUCAGACUCCCCACUGCACUUGCAUAGGGAACUGAAUCCAUCAAUCUACUCUCUGUUUUUACCUCCUGCUCUGUUAGACUCUUAAGCUUAAACUGCGAAUUACUUGGAGUUACAACAGCCUUGCAAUCCUCCAUGUUAAAAGUUCUUAAAACCUGCUUAAGAUAUCUUUCCUGUGAUAACUUGAGAGUACCUUUCUUUCUGUCCCUGAUGAUAUCCAUACCAAGAAUUCUAGUCGCUGGUCCUAGAUCCUUCAUCUCGAACUUUUUACUUAAGCUUGCCUUCAAGGCUUUGAUCUUUUCCAUAUUCUUUGCUGCCACAAGCAUGUCAUCGACAUAUAGUAAGAGAUAAACCAUAUCAUCAAUACAUGAUCCCUUAGUGUAAACACAUGGAUCCCUAGCGCUCCUUUGAAACUCCAUUGACUUCAUGAAUUCAUCAAACUUCUGAUUCCAUUGUCUAGGUGACUGUUUCAAACCAUAUAGAGAUUUCUUAAGAAGACAGACCUUGUCUUCGUUUCCCUUCUCUAUAAAACCCUCUGGCUGACUCAUGUAAAUGACUUCAUCAAGUGUACCAUGUAAGAAAGCAGUUUUCACGUCUAGUUGCUCCAAUUCCAGAUCAAAAUUAACCACAACUGACAACAUGAUUCUAAUAGAAACAUGCUUAACCACCGGAGCAAAUAUUUCGUUGUAAUCCACUCCUUCAACCUGUGUAAAUCCCUUAGCUACAAGUCUUGCUUUGUAUCUAGGUUCUUCAACACCUGGAAUGCCCUCCUUGUACUUGAAGAUCCACUUACACCCAACUAUUUUCUGCUUUCUCGGCUUAGAGACAAUCUCAAAAGUUUCAUUUUUAUCCAGAGAUUGUUUUUCCUCUUCCAUAGCCUGCUUCCACUUCUUCCAGUCUUUACUUCGUCUAGCUUCUGCGACUGACCUUGGUUCAUUUAACUCUAUGCUUUCAGCGCUAGUUAAAGCAUAAGCUAAAUAAUCAGCAUCCUCAAACCUCGAUGGUGGUUUGAUAGUUCUUCGCUCUAUGUCUCUUGCCAGCAAAUAAUCAUCAAGAGACUCUUCUUCAUCCUGAUUUUCUUGUUCUUCCUCAGAUUCCUGCUCCUCUUCUGAUUCUGAAUGUUCCGAAGUAGCUCCACCUUGACCAGCAGAAUCUGUAUUUCCUGAAACCUCUCCACCUUGACCAGUGGACUCUUGAACCGAACCAUUUGGAGUAGGUCCUUGGAUCAAUCCAGCUUUGAAAGUAACUUUCUUCUUCUUUGUAGAUUUUGUUACUUCAUUCUGAUCUCGGUCCUUAUACAACUUUUCCUCAUCAAAGACUACAUUCCUGCUGUUAGUACAUUUUCCAUCCUCCAGAAUCCAAACCCUGUAACCUUUAGUACCCUGUGGAUAUCCUAAGAAAAUCCCUUUAACAGCUCUUGGACUCAUCUUGUCUUGUAUUACAUGAACAUAUGCAACACAACCAAAUCGUCUGAGAUGACUGUAAUCAACCUUUGAUCCUGACCAAACCUCUUCAGGAAUCUUGAACUUCAGCGAUGCAUUUGGUGAUCUGUUUAUGAGAUAAACUGCAGUAGAAGCUGCCUCAGCCCAAAAUUUCUUUUCCAUUCCUGUUUCUGCUAACAUACACCUGAUCUUCUCAGCUAUUGUCCGAUUCAUCCUCUCAGAUACUCCAUUUUGCUGUGGAGUAUAAGUGCAAGUUCGAUGUCUUUUAAUCCCUGAAUCCUGACAUAGCUUAUCCAUCUGAUUGUUGCAGAACUCUAAUCCAUUAUCAGUUCGCAGACACUUUAUCUUCUUACUCUUCUGAUUUUCCACUAGUGUUUUCCACUCUGAAAAAUUUUCAAACACUUCGUCCUUACUCCUUAGGAAUCUGAUCCAAACCUUCCUUGAGUAAUCAUCAAUGAAAGUAAGAAAGUAUCUACACCCUGUCAUGCUUGGCUCGUUUGACACUGAGCCCCAAAGAUCACUGUGAAUGUAUUCCAAAAUACACGUAGUAGUGUGUUGGCCAACUGGAAAACUCUGCUUGUGAGACUUACCAAACACACACUUUUCACAGAAAUCUAAAGUGUGGACUUCCUUUGAGUCUAGAUAACCUCCUUUGACCAGAAGAUUCAUGUUCUUAAGACUCAUAUGUCCUAGCCUUGAAUGCCAUCUGUUCGUUAGAUUUACCUCCGUCCUGACCACAGAUGCUUCUCCUCUCACAACUGUUCCCUGCAAAUAGUACAGCCCGUUCUCAUAUUUUCCUGAAAUCACUUUCUGGCCCUUCUUGUAGAAAGUAACUAUGAAGUCCUUCCCUUCAUACUUGCACCCGUUCUUCUCUAGCUGGCCAUAAGAGAUGAGAUUUUUGCUCAUGGUUGGCAUGUAUCUCACAUCAGUUAAUAUCACGGUAGCUCCUUCUGAGUUUAUGAUCUUGAUUUUCCCAAUGCCUUUGACUUCGCUGUGAGUGUUGUUACCCAUCAUCACCUUUCCGCCAUCAACUUCUUUGAAGUCAUACAAGACAUCUCUAUCAGGUGUAAUGUGGAAAGUACACCCAGAAUCCAUGACCCAUUCAUCCAUAGUGUCUUGGACGCUUGCUGUUAAGAUCAUAGGUUCCUCUCUUUCAUGUACUACAUUUGCAAAUCUUGUUUCCCAUACUUUCUUUCAGGGCACUCUUUCUUGUAGUGUCCUUCUUUCCCACAUAUCCAACAUUCUCUAGCUUUUGGUUGAUUCUUUGGUCUAGACUUCGACAUUGAAUCUCUGCUCUUGGAUCUACCUUUACUCUGACCUGUAGUCCUCUUUUCAGACCUCCCUCUACUUGCAACCAAAGCAUCUGCACUUGACUUUGAUUUUCCUAGAAGUCCACUCUCUUUUAGCUCGAUUUCCUUGGCAUAUGCUGAAGCGGUAACUUCAUUCAUAGUAAGUGUCUCUUUCCCGUUGCCGUAUUUGAGAGUAUGAACUAGUGAAUCAAACUGCUUAGGUAAGCUAGACAACACCUGAAUUGCCUGAUCUUCAUCACUUAUAGUUAUACUCAAGCUCUCCAAAUCGUCCACCAGUCUAAGAAACACGUCAAGAUUCUCCUCUAUGCUUUUGUGCUCUUCCAUCUUAAAACUGGCAAAUCUCUGCUUCAGAUAAAUGCGAUUUGGUAAGGUCUUUGUCUGGUAAUCCUUUUCUAGAGCUUUCCACACACCUAGAGCUGUUGUUUGCUUCAUAACCUUCCGCAAGACCAGAUUACUAAGGCUGGAACAUAUCAAGUUCUUUGCCUUUUUGUCUAUCUCCUUCUUCUUUGGAUCAACCGGAGAUGGAGUUGCCUUAGCAUCUGUCUCAUCUUCUUUUCCUUUUCCUUUGUCAGAUGCUGCGAUAGUUUAUUCCUCAUUAAUUGCAGAAUCUAACCCUAGAUUUUCAAGUGCCAUAAGCAUCAAGAAUUUCCACAUACCAAAAUCUCCUUNNNNNNNNNNNNNNNNNNNNNNNNNNNNNNNNNNNNNNNNNNNNNNNNNNNNNNNNNNNNNNNNNNNNNNNNNNNNNNNNNNNNNNNNNNNNNNNNNNNNUAACUUGGACUUUCCCGAAACAACACCAAUCGCAGAUCAGAAACUGAAACCGUAUCCUCCGCUUAAACCUGGUGCUCUGAUACCACUUGUGAGGUUUUAAUAUUGAUUUCAACCUCUAGUCUUAGCUCUUAACCUGAAAUACUUAGAUCAAUUAACCUUGAUACUUAGUUUGUUUGUUGUUUUCAAGCAAGACACAAGAAAAUUUGGUAACCCAGUUCCCUUUCGGUACGUCUGGGGAGAGACGGUACUCUCAACGGUCCACUAUAAUCGAUCAAGUGUUUACAAUAAUGAGUUUGUUACUUCACCGUUAAACUCACGUAUCUCUCUUCUUUCCUUUGUUUCAGGUACCACAAAGAAGAAAGACCAGAAACUAAUUCACCUCAGUUUCAACCACAGAUGCCUUAACCCAGAAGAUGAAGACGAAAGCCUGAAAAAACCCUUAACCGUGUAUCUCUGUUUCUCUUCUCCUUCUCUCGUUAAUUAUCUCUGCUCUCUCUCAAAGUCUGCAACUCCAAAAAAGUUUUAUAUAUAGCUUUGAGUAAUCAUGUGGGCCUUAUACCCUAACCCAACAUCAGUUUCUCUUGCACACUCUUGUAAACACACGUAUGGGCUUGAGCCCAAAAGAAUAGAAGCUUUGACCAGAUAAUGUGGAGUUGACCAUUAUCUUCUCCUUUGGUUUUAUCGACAAACUCCACAGAUGGUUUGAUUAUAGCACGUUGAAACGAAGUUCACAUUAGUGCUUUCUGUUCAAUAUAAUUUGGUGAUUGUAGCUUCAUAGUUAAUUGUUUAAGAUACAAUUUUGUGGAUACCAACG